ACGGAGGGUGCAAGCGUUAUUCGGAAUUACUGGGCGUAAAGCGCGUGUAGGCGGUCCUGCAAGUCUGAUGUGAAAGCCCCGGGCUUAACCCGGGAAGUGCAUUGGAAACUGCGGGACUUGAGUACAGGAGAGGAUGGUGGAAUUCCCUGUGUAGAGGUGAAAUUCGUAGAGAUCGGGAGGAAUAUCAGUGGCGAAGGCGGCCAACUGGACUGUAAUUGACGCUGAGGCGCGAAAGCGUUGGGAGCAAACAG
rnacentral:rRNA from 1 species